ACAAAUGAGUUUCCUUCCCCCGCGCCCCGAGGCUCUGUCCUCAGUCCUCCGAGUCACCAGAGGCCCAUCGGACAGGCGGCCGUGCUGCGGGCAGGACGGUGUCGGAGGAGAGACGGGAGGGAGGAGCAUCCUGGUGAGUCCUGAUGGAAGCGGCUCCUAGAGGCCGAGGGUUUCCGGUCGCGAGGAGCCGCCCUGGCAGCCUCGGCUCGGAGGGAGAAGGCCCUGCCCCUGCCGGACCCGACAGAAAGGAGAUUUCACAUGGAACUUGGACUUCUGUCUCUACUAGGCAGCCCUGGACUGACAUUCCAGGGAGCGGGAGCAUCAGGACAGCCCACCUGCCACGGAGACCAGUGGAGCCGAAAGGAUUUGCUGACACUUUGGAGAGAGGAUUACAGAGAGGAUUCAAUCGUGACUCCUAGGCAUGUGGCUUGAGCAACUAAAGGAUGCGGCUGCCAUGACUAAGAAGAGGCAGACCAUGGGAGGUGCCAAUGGAGGAGGUG